GCGUCGGUGGUUCAGUGGUAGAAUACUCGCCUGCCACGCGGUUGGCCCGGGUUCGAUUCCCGGCCGACGCA
rnacentral:tRNA from 2 species